rnacentral:rRNA from 1 species
AAAUAUAACGGGGCUUAAGCAACGUACCGAAGCUGCGGGCUGUUUUACAGCGGUAGGCGAGCAUUGUCUCGGCUGCGAAGCUAGACGGUAACGACUGGUGGAGUAGUGACAAGAGCGAAUGCAGGCUUGAGUAGCGAUAAACCGAGCGAGAAACUCGGUCGCCGUAAGCCCAAGGGUUCCUGGGUCAAGUUAAUCUUCCCAGGGUUAGUCGGUCCCUAAGCCGAGGCCGAAAGGCGUAGGUAAUGGCUAGCAGGUUAAUAUUCCUGCACUAGUAAGGAUGACGUUGAUCGCAGGAAGGACGGAGAAGGGUCGCUGAGCCGCGGCAUGGUUUGCCCGGUUCAAACCUGUAGGCUGUCUCUUUAGGACCCCAAUGUGGGACAAACGAAGAGACAUUAAGCUGAGAGGUGAUGAGGAGAGUUCUAUGAACUCACGAACUCAGUUAUCCCAGACUUCCAAGAAAAGUUCCGGCGUGAGUCACUUUACUGACCGUACCGCAAACCGACACAGGUGGGCAAGGAGAAUAUCCUAAGGCGUUUGAGAGAAGCCUCUCCAAGGAACUCGGCAUAAUGACACCGUAACUUCGGGAUAAGGUGUGCCGACGGUAGGUGAUGUGCCUGCGCACAAAGCCAAAGUCGGUUGCAGUGAAACGGGGGUAGCGACUGUUUACCAAAAACACAGCACUCUGCAAACUCGCAAGAGGAAGUAUAGGGUGUGAUGCCUGCCCGGUGCCGGAAGGUUAAGAGGAGGAGUCAGCCGCAAGGCAAAGCCCCGAAUCGAAGCCCCGGUAAACGGCGGCCGUAACUAUAACGGUCCUAAGGUAGCGAAAUUCCUUGUCGGGUAAGUUCCGACCUGCACGAAUGGCAUAACGACUUCCCCACUGUCUCGGAGAGGCCCUCAGCGAAGUAGCACUAGGGGUGAAGAUACCCUUUACCCGCGGCAGGACGGAAAGACCCCGUGAACCUUUACUGUAACUUGGCACUGAUUUUCGGGUUAGCUUGCGUAGGAUAGGUGGGAGGCUAUGAAGCCGGGAUUCCGGUCUCGGCAGAGCCAACCUUGAAAUACCACCCUGGCUAACCUAAAAAUCUAACUCGCUUCCGUAAUCCGGAAGGAGGACAAUGCCUGGUGGGCAGUUUGACUGGGGCGGUCGCCUCCCAAAAAGUAACGGAGGCGCGCGAAGGUUCCCUCAGCCUGAUUGGAAACCAGGCGAAGAGUGUAAUGGCAUAAGGGAGCUUGACUGCAAGACAAACAAGUCGAGCAGGUGCGAAAGCAGGUCAUAGUGAUCCGGUGGUCCUGUAUGGAAAGGCCAUCGCUCAACGGAUAAAAGGUACUCCGGGGAUAACAGGCUUAUCACGCCCAAGAGUUCACAUCGACGGCGUGGUUUGGCACCUCGAUGUCGGCUCAUCGCAUCCUGGGGCUGAAGUAGGUCCCAAGGGUUUGGCUGUUCGCCAAUUAAAGCGGUACGCGAGCUGGGUUCAAAACGUCGUGAGACAGUUUGGUCCCUAUCCGCCGUGGGCGCAGGAGACUUGAGAGGAGCUAACCUUAGUACGAGAGGACCGGGUUGGACUGACCUCUAGUGUUCCGGUUGUGGCACCAGCCGCAUCGCCGGGUAGCUACGUCGGGAAUGGAUAACCGCUGAAAGCAUCUAAGCGGGAAGCCAACCUCAAGAUUAGGUCUCCCAGGUCGUAAGACCCUAAAGGCCCCUUGUAGACCACAAGGUAAUAGGCUGGGUGUGGAAGCGUAGUAAUACGUGGAGCUGACCAGUACUAAUCGGCCGUGCGGCUUGACC